rnacentral:rRNA from 1 species
GUAGGGUGCGAGCGUUGUCCGGAAUUACUCGGGCGUAAAGAGCUCGUAGGUGGUUUGUCGCGUUGUUCGUGAAAUCUUACGGCUUAACUGUGAGCGUGCGGGCGAUACGGGCAGACUUGAGUACUGCAGGGGAGACUGGAAUUCCUGGUGUAGCGGUGGAAUGCGCAGAUAUCAGGAGGAACACCGGUGGCGAAGGCGGGUCUCUGGGCAGUAACUGACGCUGAGGAGCGAAAGCGUGGGGAGCGAACAGGAUUAGAUACCCUGGUAGUCCACGCCGUAAACGGUGGGUACUAGGUGUGGGUUUCCUUCCUUGGGAUCCGUGCCGUAGCUAACGCAUUAAGUACCCCGCCUGGGGAGUACGGCCGCAAGGCUAAAACUCAAAGAAAUUGACGGGGGCCCGCACAAGCGGCGGAGCAUGUGGAUUAAUUCGAUGCAACGCGAAGAACCUUACCUGGGUUUGACAUGCACAGGACGCCGGCAGAGAUGUCGGUUCCCUUGUGGCCUGUGUGCAGGUGGUGCAUGGCUGUCGUCAGCUCGUGUCGUGAGAUGUUGGGUUAAGUCCCGCAACGAGCGCAACCCUUGUCUCAUGUUGCCAGCGGGUAAUGCCGGGGACUCGUGAGAGACUGCCGGGGUCAACUCGGAGGAAGGUGGGGAUGACGUCAAGUCAUCAUGCCCCUUAUGUCCAGGGCUUCACACAUGCUACAAUGGCCGGUACAAAGGGCUGCGAUGCCGCGAGGUUAAGCGAAUCCUUUUAAAGCCGGUCUCAGUUCGGAUCGGGGUCUGCAACUCGACCCCGUGAAGUCGGAGUCGCUAGU